UACGUAGGGGGCAAGCGUUGUCCGGAAUUAUUGGGCGUAAAGAGCGUGUAGGCGGUCCGGUAAGUCGGCUGUGAAAGUCCAGGGCUCAACCCUGGGAUGCCGGUCGAUACUGCCGGACUAGAGUUCGGAAGAGGCGAGUGGAAUUCCCGGUGUAGCGGUGAAAUGUGUAGAUAUCGGAAGGAACGCCAGCAGCGAAAGCGGCACACUGGGCCUUUUCUGACGCUGAGGCACGAAAGCCAGGGGAGCGAACGGG
rnacentral:rRNA from 1 species